rnacentral:rRNA from 1 species
UACAGAGGUGGCAAGCGUUGUUCGGAAUUACUGGGCGUAAAGGGCGAGUAGGCGGCUUUUUAAGUCAGACGUGAAAUCCCACGGCUUAACCGUGGAACUGCUUGGUAUACUGGCUGUCUUGAGCCACUUAGGGGCGACCGGAACAAACGGUGGAGCGGUGAAAUGCGUAGAUAUCGUUUGGAACGCCAAAGGUGAAAACAGGUCGCUGGGAGUGUGCUGACGCUGAGACACGAAAGCCAGGGGAGCAAACGGG